rnacentral:rRNA from 1 species
UACAGAGGGUGCGAGCGUUAAUCGGAAUUACUGGGCGUAAAGCGCACGUAGUCGGCUUUGCAAGUCGGGUGUGAAAUCCCCGGGCUCAACCUGGGAACUGCAUCCGAGACUGCAUUGCUAGAGUAUGGGAGAGGGAAGCGGAAUUUCUGGUGUAGCAGUGAAAUGCGUAGAUAUUGGGAGGAACACCAGUGGCGAAGGCGGCUCACUGGACCGGUACUGACGCUGAUACGCGAAAGCGUGGGGAGCAAACGGG